CGCAAGCCUGACGGAGCAAGACCGCGUGCGGGAUGACGGCCUAAUGGUUGUAAACCGCUUUUCUCUGGGAAGAUGACGACGGUACCAGAGGAAUCAGCCUCGGCUAACUCCGUGCCAGCAGCCGCGGUAAUACGGAGGAGGCAAGCGUUAUCCGGAAUUAUUGGGCGUAAAGCGUCCGUAGGUGGUUAUUCAAGUCUGCUGUCAAAGCGUGGGGCUUAACUCCAUAGAGGCAGUGGAAACUGGAUGACUUGAGUGCGGUAGGGGUCGAGGGAAUUCCCAGUGUAGCGGUGAAAUGCGUAGAUAUUGGGAAGAACACCAGUGGCGAAAGCGCUCGACUGGGCCUGCACUGACACUGAGGGACGAAAGCUAGGGGAGCG
rnacentral:rRNA from 1 species